GUUUUUAAGUGUAUGCCUUUUAUUAGAGAGUUUACAGUUUACAGUCUCCAUUUUCUGUAAGAUAAAUGGAGUUAGUGGAUGAAAAAUCUGAUAAAUUAAGUACCCGAUGAAUCAAGGUACUUCAUCACAUUGAUGUAAAAUGUAUAUACAAACGUUUUUGCUCAUUGAAUUUAUAUCUAAUGUUGACAUUAAAACAUUAGAUAUCUGCGAUAAAACCAUAUAACAUGAUACCAUAUUAUAAUAUUUUACAUGUUGAUACAUCUGUACUUUAUAAUCUAAUAAAAUAGAAAUGUCAAAGGGAGCGAUCUAUUGAUGCAAAAUCACAAUUACAGUUUUGUACUUGGGCAAGAAAGUUUGUAUUUUGCAUACCGACUGCUCAGCUACACAGUAUAAAAAGAAUGUCAAUAUCUCUGUUGACCGAUUUAAAGUCUCAUAUCUUCUCUCUCAGCUCAAGGACACAACUCAUAGGAAAAAGCACACUGAUUCAUUUGCAGCCUUUAAUUGUGCAAACAGAUUAACAUUUGGACAGUUUAGUGUCUUCAGCAGAGUCAGACGAACAUUGUAUUCAGCUUUCAGAAUCAGAAUAUUACUCAGAAACAGGUUUUUUUCAAUUGUCACAGAAUGUUAAAACUCAACUUAAAACCUGAAAAAACGUCUCAACUGACACUGUUGAACACUUCAUUUUGAGUACGAGAGGACUUUUUUUAUAUUGUGUACUUUUGAUGAAAUACAGAAUUGUUGACCUGGUUCUGUUGAUGUUGCUGAAAUACCUUUUGUAUUGCAUAUUUUUAAAUUUGGAGUUCAUAGGUUAAAACAAUGUGUAGUGUAUCUUUCAGUACUUUCUUGACUUCCUGUCAGUAGUUUCAUCAGUAAUCUCCUGAAACAGCUAGUCGCUGUUGUUUUUAUCAAACAAACAGGAAG